CCCCACACACAUAUUCCACAGGUUAGUGCAGCAUUAAUUAGCUUCCAAGGGACAUGUCACAGUCAGGACACAGUAUUACUUACUGUCCCAUGACUUAUGUCAGGUUAGCGUAAUUAGGUAGUACUAAUAUUCCUGUAUUUCAGGACUUGAAGAGGCUGCUGCUGCUGCUGGUUCAGUGGGCUGGCUGGUCACAGCAGGAGCAGUAGGAGGAGGAGGAACUGUGCUGCUCGGUUUGGUCAUUAUCAUUUACUACUGUGCUAAACAAGAAGCAGAUGAUUACUCAGUAUAUACCACCGUCCUCUACACACUGCUAGACAACAAUAAGAAAGACGGACAACCAUAAGAAAGAUGGUGUGUGAUGUCCUGAUCUUCAGCCAAUCAAGAACAGAGGACAAAUGGAGCUCCAUAUAUAU